GUUGAACGCUGACAGAAUGCUUAACACAUGCAAGUCCACUGGUGGAGGACGGGAGAGUAACGCGUAUAGAACUUACCUCACAGUUAGGGACAACAUCUGGAAACGACUGCUACUACCACAUCCUGUGAGAGAGCGUUGCGUCCCAUUAGCUAGUUGGAGAGGUAACGGCUCACCAAGGCGAUGAUGGGUAGCCGGCCUGAGAGGGUGAUCGGGUACAAGGGGACAGGGACACGGCCAGUAGUCCUACGGGAGGAAGGGGUGGGGGAUAUUGGACAAGGGACCAAAGUAUGAUGCAGCAAUUCGGUGUGUAAGAUAAAGUUUUCAGAAUGAAAAGGGCGUUGAGUUGGGAAGCGUUACCAACAGAAGAAGCGACGGCUAACUACGUGCCAGCAGCCGCGGUAAUAC
rnacentral:rRNA from 1 species